CUGCACACACGUACACACACACACACCCGCUGUGAAUGUGUGCGUGUGUGUAUGUGUGUGUGUGUGCAG